AACCCGACUACAUGAAGCUGGAAUCGCUAGUAAUCGCGAAUCAGAAUGUCGCGGUGAAUACGUUCCCGGGUCUUGUACACACCGCCCGUCACACCAUGGGAGUCGAAUAUGCCCGAAGCCGGUGACCUAACCGCAAGGAAGGAGCCGUCGAAGGUGGAGCCGAUGACUGGGGUGAAGUCGUAACAAGGUAUC
rnacentral:rRNA from 1 species